ACUGUAGCUCAGUUGGUAGAAUGGCGGAAUGGAAAUAGUUUGCAGUGGGGUUCGAAUCCCAG
rnacentral:tRNA from 1 species